UAUAAACACCGAUAAACUAGAGGAGCUCUUGGCAACGAAGGAUCACACAAGAACCACACGAGGAAAAGGCAAAACACAAGUCACGCGCCUCUUCUCUUCAUGGCAUCUAUCAACCAGAGCAACACGAGGACCAUGGCUCUUGCUUUCCUGGUCCUUAUAAUGUUGUCUGGUUGUACACUGCCAUCCUGCCAUGCAGUUGUUUAUCAUCCCUAUUGCGUGGAAAUGCCUCGAGGAUGCUCUAUCCCUUAUUGCAUGGACGAAUGCAACAGGAUAGAGCGACGUCCGCAUUCCUGGUUUUGCAACAACAUUGGCCAGUGCUGUUGCUACACUCUAUAGUAUGGCCGGACAUAGCGGUCUUGGUUACUCGUGCGAUGUAAUCCAGAUGAAUAAGCUCAUUGCAUGUAGUGCGCUGGGCAAUGAGUCGCAAACAUAAUAAGAUGUUCCUUCAUAAUGUGAUUAGUGGCAUGUGCUGCCGACUUCA